UACGUAGGGUGCAAGCGUUGUCCGGAAUUAUUGGGCGUAAAGAGCUCGUAGGCGGUGUGUCACGUCGGCCGUGAAAACCUGGGGCUUAACUCUGGGCGUGCGGUCGAUACGGGCAUCACUAGAGUUCGGCAGGGGAGACUGGAAUUCCUGGUGUAGCGGUGAAAUGCGCAGAUAUCAGGAGGAACACCGGUGGCGAAGGCGGCGACCUGGGUAGAUACUGACGCUGAGGUGCGAAAGCGUGGGGAGCGAACAGG
rnacentral:rRNA from 1 species